rnacentral:lncRNA from 1 species
CGCCGGAUCGUUUCUCCGCGGUGUGAGGGAGCCACCACCUGCAUUCUGUCCGUCAGCAGCGCUGUUUCUGGAGAAUAAGCCGUCUUAUCAUGACAAUCUGCACAGUGGGUAGAGGAGGCGCGCAUUGUAAAGAAGGAAUAGAAUCCAAGGAAGACACUAACUGGUAAAAUAAACUACUGAAAAACUGCAUAAACACCAUAAACUGGUCUUUCCAAACACAGAAAAAACAUCGCAGCUGCUGUGGGGCAGGUACCUCUGAAGGAUGACCUAACUGAGCUAGCUGACCUAGUUUCCAGUUUUGGGAAGCAUAGAAGGAAGAAUCAGGGAUCUGUGGUAAGAAAUUCAAGGAUUAAGAAAAUUCACCUUGUGCUGUGGUAACUGUUGGUAUGUUCAGUUGCUACUUUGUCUCCUGCCAGCGCAGUAUUGAACUCUAUUACUGCUAGUAGUGG